rnacentral:rRNA from 1 species
GACGAACGCUGGCGGCGUGCCUGAUACAUGCAAGUAGAACGCACAGUUUAUACCGUAGCUUGCUACACCAUAGACUGUGAGUUGCGAACGGGUGAGUAACGCGUAGGUAACCUGCCUGGUAGCGGGGGAUAACUAUUGGAAACGAUAGCUAAUACCGCAUAAUAUUAAUUAUUGCAUGAUAAUUAAUUGAAAGGUGCAAUUGCACCACUACCAGAUGGACCUGCGUUGUAUUAGCUAGUAGGUGAGGUAACGGCUCACCUAGGCGACGAUACAUAGCCGACCUGAGAGGGUGAUCGGCCACACUGGGACUGAGACACGGCCCAGACUCCUACGGGAGGCAGCAGUAGGGAAUCUUCGGCAAUGGACGAAAGUCUGACCGAGCAACGCCGCGUGAGUGAAGAAGGUUUUCGGAUCGUAAAGCUCUGUUGUAAGAGAAGAACGGGUGUGAGAGUGGAAAGUUCACACUGUGACGGUAUCUUACCAGAAAGGGACGGCUAACUACGU